GCAAUGCCGCGUGCAGGAUGAAGGCCUUCGGGUUGUAAACUGCUUUUGUACGGAACGAAACGGUGAGCUCUAAUACAGCUUGCUAAUGACGGUACCGUAAGAAUAAGCACCGGCUAACUACGUGCCAGCAGCCGCGGUAAUACGUAGGGUGCGAGCGUUAAUCGGAAUUACUGGGCGUAAAGCGUGCGCAGGCGGUGAUGUAAGACAGAUGUGAAAUCCCCGGGCUCAACCUGGGACCUGCAUUUGUGACUGCAUCGCUAGAGUACGGUAGAGGGGGAUGGAAUUCCGCGUGUAGCAGUGAAAUGCGUAGAUAUGCGGAGGAACACCGAUGGCGAA
rnacentral:rRNA from 1 species